rnacentral:rRNA from 1 species
AUUGAACGCUGGCGGCAUGCCUAACACAUGCAAGUCGAACGGCAGCGCGGGGGCAACCCUGGCGGCGAGUGGCGGACGGGUGAGGAAUACAUGGGAAUCUACCCUGUCGUGGGGGAUAACGUAGGGAAACUUACGCUAAUACCGCAUACGACCGAGAGGUGAAAGCGGCGGACCGCAAGGCGUCGCGCGAUUGGAUGAGCCCAUGUCGGAUUAGCUAGUUGGCGGGGUAAAGGCCCACCAAGGCGACGAUCCGUAGCUGGUCUGAGAGGAUGAUCAGCCACACUGGAACUGAGACACGGUCCAGACUCCGACGGGAGGCAGCAGUGGGGAAUAUUGGACAAUGGGCGCAAGCCUGAUCCAGCAAUGCCGCGUGGGUGAAGAAGGCCUUCGGGUUGUAAAGCCCUUUUGUACGGGAAGAAAUCCUGUCGGUUAAUACCCGGCGGGGAUGACGGUACCGUAAGAAUAAGCACCGGCUAACUUCGUGCCAGCCGCCGCGGUAAAAC